UACGUAGGGUGCGAGCGUUAAUCGGAAUUACUGGGCGUAAAGCGUGCGCAGGCGGUUUUGUAAGCCAGAUGUGAAAUCCCCGGGCUUAACCUGGGAAUUGCAUUUGUGACUGUACGGCUAGAGUGUGUCAGAGGGGGGUAGAAUUCCACGUGUAGCAGUGAAAUGCGUAGAGAUGUGGAGGAAUACCGAUGGCGAAGGCAGCCCCCUGGGAUAACACUGACGCUCAUGCACGAAAGCGUGGGGAGCAAACAGG
rnacentral:rRNA from 1 species